AAUAAAAUAAAAUAAAAUAAAAACAGUGAACUCGUACUCUCAAAGCAAAACAAAAUUCAAAACCAUUCACUAACUUUCCUAUGAUAGAACACUGGUACGAUAAAAACCCCAAAGCAAAACUUCUAGCUCCAUGGCACACCCAGGUCUCCACUAGCACACCCUACCAAAGCACUACCAGUUCUUCUAUGUGCUCCAUCUGGUCAACUACAGUUACCGAUGCCAACAUGAGUUUCCAACAAAUUGAACCUAGGAGGUUCCAGCAACACUUCUCCAUGAUUCAUUCAAUCCAGAUACAGAAUGGGAUGCAUAUCUAUAUACAGAAAAGCAAUUAUGAAUACUCCUCUUUCAGCCUAAAUCUAGAUCUCUUCUCAAGGUAAUAUUCUUUUUACGUCAUUUCCCUCUUCGGUAUUUUUUGCUUGGUUGUAUACAGACUCAAAUGCAUGCAUACAUACACUUGAA
rnacentral:misc_RNA from 1 species